rnacentral:lncRNA from 1 species
UUCCUUUACAUUGACAUUUAAACCAGUGAUUCUAAGGCAGAGUUGGGGCGGAGGGAGGAGAAUUUUGAACAAGCGGAGCCAAUUUUCGUCUCAUUUCUAAUUACAGGCAACAACAGAAUUCUGCGAAACUUGGUUGGUUGGAGGAGCACACCAAAAAUAAAGUACCGGAGCCGGCACGGCUUCAAAAAAAUUAGGAUCAGUACCGCUAGUAGCGAACGCAUAAGAAGGGCUUCCUGUAUGCCUGCGUAUCUUGUUUAAGCCUAAAGAUAUGUACUCUCUUUAUCCUCUUUUUUUGAGACGAGGAAGUAGACCCAGCAUGCCCGAGAUCACACAUUUUACAAGGAAGAAGUAGGAUCCAGACCCAGGGAGUUUAACUUCAAAACUUGAACGUUUAACAAUCAGGUCUUGCUGCCCUACUCAUAAAGAGACCCAAAUAAAAACAACAUGACGCCAUUUUUUUCCAUGUGUUUAGACUGGCAAACUUGUGAAGUCGCUUAAUACCAAAUGUGUACCAAGAUGUAAGGAAAUGAUGUGAGAAUGUCAUUAGUAUAACCUUUUAGGAGGAGUAAUUUGACAAUAUGAGAGGCUUGAGCGGAUUGAUUCAGCAAUUUCACCACUAAGAAAGUAUGCAACAAUUAUUUUUGCACCAAUAUCCAAAGAUUUACUACAAAGAUUUCUGGCAGCAAUUUUUGUGUGUGUGUGGCAAGAAAAAAAAAAGCAUUCUAAUUGUCCAUCGAUAGAGGAACUUAAAGUAUGGAAUAUUAAUACAAUGGCAUAUUACCCUUUUUAAAAAAAGUAAAUUGUAUCUGAAUAUGCUGAUAUAUAAAUACCUCCAAAAGGUAUUGAGUUUUAAACAAAGCAACUUGCAGAAUUAAACAUAUGCGUACGUAUACAGAGAGAGAAGAGAGAGGGAUGGUAUUUGUUUGCGUCCGUGUGUGUGUGUGUGUGUGUGUGUGUGUGUGUGUGUGUUUGCGCAGAACAUUCCUGGAGGAUAUGCAAGAAACUGUUAAUGAUUACCUCUGGUGGGUGAGCCUAGGAAGGAAAGCUUCUGAGGAUCUUUACUUUCCACAUUUAGCUUCCCUGUACUGUGCUGUUUGAAUAUUUUUCCAAUGAAUGUAUACUAUAAUUAUAGUAUUAUAACAGUACAAGAUUAUAACAGUACAAGAUUACUAUAAAAUUAAUUACAAAUAAAAGCUGAGAAUCACUUUUGCACCUAAACCUUUUGAAUUUAGGGGUGAAAGUCACAGGAGAGACUGGAAAGGGAGGAAGAAAAGAAAAACAUUUUUCUCUUUGCUUCCAUGAAGCCACAAAGUGCUUUGAAUAGUGCCUGGCAUAAAGUAAGCCCUAUAUAAACGCUAAUGCUGUUAGUUUUUCUCCUACCUCUUUCACUACUUCUCCUCAGUCUUCUUCCCUUCUAGCUGACCUCUAACUUUAGAGUUCCUCAUAUUUUGGCCAGUGAGGAGAAUCCUGUUUAUUCCUGUGGCUUUAAAUAACAUCUGUGUAUCUAUAAUUCUCAAAUUGAAAUCCAAGUCCUGACCUUACCCCUGUGCUCCAGACUCAUGUCUACCCGCUGAUUUGUCAUCUCAUUUUAAUGGUUCAUACACAUCUUAAAUUUAACACAUCCAAACCCUUGAUCUCACCGCCUUCCCCAAACUUCUUUGGGUCUUCUCCGUGUCAAUCAAUGGCAUCACCAUCCAGUCCAAAACCUAGAGUUCAGCCUUAGUUCCUCCCUCUCCUUUACCUCUCAUACCAACAGCAAGUCCUACUGUUUUUACCCCCAAAUACAUCUUGAAUCUAUGUUCUUUCCUGCUUUACUGCAUACUCCCUAGGCCAGAACACUAUGAUUGCUUCUCAGAACUACUGCAGUAGUCUUCCAUGCUUCUGUUCCAUUCUUGCUCCUUACAAUCUCUUCAUACUGUUGCCAGAGAGAUUUUUAAAAAAUACAUAAAUCAUAUCAUGUCUCACCCCUGCUAUAUCAAUUAUAU